GGGUAGAGUAAUGCGUGACCAACCUGCCCCAUGCUCCAGAAUAGCUCUUGGAAACGGGUGGUAAUGCUGGAUGCUCCAACUUGACGCAUGUCUUGUUGGGAAAGUGUUUAGUGGCAUGGGAUGGGGUCGCGUCCUAUCAGCUUGUAGGCGGGGUAAUGGCCCACCUAGGCUUCGACGGGUAGCCGGCCUGAGAGGGCGGACGGCCACAUUGGGACUGAGAUAUGGCCCAGACUCCUACGGGAGGCAGCAGGC
rnacentral:rRNA from 1 species